UCAUGUUUCGGGGUGGGCUCUGCUUUGAAUGUCGACGUCACCCAAAGUAUCAGUUGACGUUAUCAACGUUAUCAUAGUGAUAUGCGCGGGAGAUUGACCUGGGCUCACUCCUCCUAACGUUCAUCGUCGAAAGAUUCCAUAGGCUACUGUUUAAUCUCCAGAUCAUACUGGAAAGCGUUUUUCUGUCCCUCCCAAGUAAAGGCCCUCAAGAAGAACCCCCUUACCAGCACUACAAAUCAGAGGAGGCUGAACGGUCAUUAGGGAAAUGGUUUACUGGGGCAAGGGACAAGGGAGGGCUGAGGGCAGCCAGAGUGGCGAAGUGAUUUAAUUCAAUUCAAUUUAGGCAUUGCUGUUUGUAACCAGUUGUUGUUCUCUGUGUUGAUGUUGAUGUUCUCUGUGUUGUAAUUUAUUAAAUGAUUAUUAUUAAAUGCAGAAAAAGAAAAUUAGGCUGCUUUUUCUGCUGUUUGGUGGGACCUUAGAGCCAUAGCCCCCUGGAAGUGACUAAUAUUAUUUUCUAGUGAAUUACAAAUGGGUCUGGUUUUGGAUUGGUAUUUAUAGUGUAUGUUGUAAACAUUGGGAUUUUAAUUAUAUUUUAUUGUAAAUGUUGGAGCCAUAUGACAUUGAAGACGGGACCAAGAUCUUGUAUGCAUUGCCCAGCUUUGCCCUACUUAAUAACUAUAAUCUUGCAUGCAGCCCAUUUGGCCAAUGUGUAGAACCUAGACAGAAUAUUAAGGUGGGGCACG